AAAAUAAACUCGGGUCAACAUUUCGUUUGAAAUUAAAUUCAGCCAGUCCAGGAUUUGGGGACGAUAAGACGAAGGAAAUAAAAUAAAAUAAAAUAAAAAAAUUAGAAAAAGAAAUGAGCUUGUCAUUGAUCCAAGGUGAUUCUUCCGUGGAAGAAGAAGAAGCAGCAGCGACUGAUGAAGAAGAAGAAGAAGAAGAUUACCAAAAGUUGUCAGAAGAAGAAGGGCAUUCCAGCAGCCGUUUGAAGAUUUCAUACAAAGCACCCUCGAAUGGAUCCUCCUCUUCCAUUCUUCCCUCUGCUAUGUACGCUUUCUCCCAAAUUUCAGGGCCGCUCCAGUUUCUUAGUCAUUUUGUGGGAGAGUAUGGUGUUGGAGCUGAUUAUAAUCCGCAUCAGCAAAGGAAGCACCAAAAGAUAUGGAGAAAUAACAAUAAUCAAUAGAAGGACAAGAAGAAAGGAGCUGUAGUGGAGCUCAAACCUCUACUUGUUGGAAUUCAUGAGCGAGUGAGGAGUGAUAUUGUGGCCCAUGAACCUCCAUCAUCAGUUCCAAGCACUAUAGAGGAGGGAGGAAAGCGUGUUCCAACUGCUACCAAUCCUAGUGCAGAAGAUGCUGCAGAGCUAUUGAGGUAUAUCUUCACAUCUUUUGCAACAUGAAUUUAAGCUAUGACACGAUUUUAUAGUUUGUUCUCUCUGUUGCACCACCUCGAGCUGAGGAUAUAAAUUGAUGGUUUAAAUAUGUAUGAUAAAUGGGGAUUUCUGUUGUUGGCAAUCAACUGCUAUCUUGAAAGUAAAACUACUUUGCUUUGGUUAAUUAUCAUAUGGUGUUUGCACUACAACUUGAAACAUAACCUGACCUUCAUUUGCCUCCUUUCUGUGUUUUUUCUACUAAGGUAGUCAACCAACUCCUUUUCUUUGUCUGGUUGGAACCCUUUACAUUUCUCUGGACUAAAUCCACAGCAUGUGUUUGUGUAAUCACAUUCAAUAUCCGCCUUUCUAAGGUGGAGGUUUGGAGUUCUGGUUAUAGACAGUAGGACUAGUGGAUCUUGGGCUGUUGUCAGGCCAGGGGAAAAGAAAAGGAUUUUGAACUUUGGCUAGGACAAACUGCAGAAUAAAUAAAACCAGAAGCCUCUACAGAACGAGCUUAAGCAUAUGCCAUACACAUCAUUCUUUUUGGUUUCUGUUUGCCUAUGGCUUUGUGAUGAUUGUUUUAAAGUAUCCUUGUUUGCCAAUUAAUUUCUUUUUGUUAACAUUCGUUUACCUGAUUAUGGGAUAUGCCUGCAAUGCGGAGUACCCAAGACAUUCUCUAGUGCAUGUGGAAUGGUCUGUCCUAUUUGUGGUGAUCGCCCACCCAAUGACACUAGCAACGAAUCCAAGAAGAAGGGAUCUGCUAUCAAAGACAAGGAAAAAAGUAAGAGGAUGAAGGGCCAGUCAUCUCAUACUACUUGGAAAAGUGAGACAGAGAUGCAACUAAGGCAGCAGUUUGAUAGCCUAAUUUAGAGAAUGACUCUUUUGAAGCCACUGUUGACAGUCGUGUUAGGAUCAAGGAUCAUUAAGGAAAAAUACGUAAUCAUUGUAGUUUAUUCUGCAACGAGUGGUGAUUGAUGAAGUAGUUUACUCAAUUAUAUCAGGACCUUUCCAUUGUAUAAUACUUCCAAGAAGUUGUAGUGUUGGUCAAUUUCUAACGAAAAAUGUGUCGUGCAAACAUACCUCCAUCGGUUGCUGAAUUGGUUCUAUUUUUACUUCAAGCUGGGUGGGAACAUUUGUGUAAAGUGUUUGGAUUGCUUCAGCCGGGUCCACUUUGAAGAAGAGAUUUGUAUCCUUGCUUUUGUA